AUGUAUCCACUUGCUUUUGGGUUCAUUGCAUGUGAGACAGAAGACAAUUGGACGUGGUUUAUGAAUCAACUUAAGAUGGCAAUAGGAGAUCCUCCACUUCUUGCAGUGUGCACAGAUGCUUGCAAAGGCUUGGAGAAUGCGGUGAAGAAUGUGUUUCCCAAUGCUGAACAAAGGGAAUGUUUUUACUAUCUUAUGAAUAAUUUUUCAAAAAGGUUCCAUGGCUUUGGAAGGAUGUAUCCUGCAGCAAGGGCUUAUAGGGAAGAUGUGUUCACUGAACAUAUGACAACAAUCAUUAAACAAUCAGAUGAGGUAUGGAAAUGGUUGAGUCAGUACCACACUCUCAAGUGGAUGAGGUGUGUCUUCAAUCCAGAUAUCAAGUGUGACUAUAUCACUAAUAAUGUAGCAGAGGUUUUUAACAACUGGAUCCGAGACAUUAAGGAUUUACCUGUUGCUGAACUAGCUGAUAAGAUUAGAGAGAUGAUCAUGCUUUUGUGGAGGAAGAGGAGAAGAAUUGGAUAA
rnacentral:rRNA from 1 species